rnacentral:rRNA from 1 species
GGAUGCGAUCAUACCAGCACUAAAGCACCGGAUCCCAUCAGAACUUUGAAGUUAAGCGUGCUUGGGCGAGAGUAGUACUAGGAUGGGUGACCUCCUGGGAAGUCCUUGUGUUGCAUUCC